GAUUAACGCUAGCGGCAGGCCUAACACAUGCAAGUCGAGGGGUAACAGGUGUAGCAAUACAUGCUGACGACCGGCGCACGGGUGAGUAACGCGUAUGCAACCUACCUUUAACAGGAAGAUAGCCCCGAGAAAUCGGGAUUAAUACUCCAUAAUGAUUAAGAAUCGCAUGGUUUUUAAUUAAAGUUCCGACGGUUAAAGAUGGGCAUGCGUGACAUUAGUUAGUUGGUGAGGUAACGGCUCACCAAGGCGACGAUGUCUAGGGGUUCUGAGAGGAUUUUCCCCCACACUGGUACUGAGACACGGACCAGACUCCUACGGGUGGCUG
rnacentral:rRNA from 1 species